rnacentral:rRNA from 1 species
UACGUAGGGGGCAAGCGUUGUCCGGAAUCAUUGGGCGUAAAGCGCGUGUAGGCGGUUCGAUAAGUCUGCUGUGAAAGUCCAGGGCUCAACCCUGGAAAGCCGGUGGAUACUGUCGGACUAGAGUGCGGAAGAGGCGAGUGGAAUUCCCGGUGUAGCGGUGAAAUGCGCAGAUAUCGGGAGGAACACCAAGUGCGAAGGCAGCUCGCUGGGACGUACUG